AAUUCGAAGCAACGCGAAGAACCUUACCUAGGUCUUGACAUCCCGAUGCUAUUUCUAGAGAUAGAAAGUUACUUCGGUACAUCGGUGACAGGUGGUGCAUGGUUGUCGUCAGCUCGUGUCGUGAGAUGUUGGGUUAAGUCCCGCAACGAGCGCAACCCCUAUUGUUAGUUGCCAUCAUUCAGUUGGGCACUCUAGCGAGACUGCCGGUAAUAAACCGGAGGAAGGUGGGAUGACGUCAAAUCAUCAUGCCCCUUAUGACCUGGGCUACACACGUGCUACAAUGGUUGGUACAACGAGUUGCGAGUCGGUGACGGCGAGCUAAUCUCUUAAAGCCAAUCUCAGUUCGGAUUGUAGGCUGCAACUCGCCUACAUGAAGUCGGAAUCGCUAGUAAUCGCGGAUCAGCAUGUCGCGGUGAAUACGUUCCCGGGUCUU
rnacentral:rRNA from 1 species